CACCCACAGCUGCCCUGCUAGGAGGGAUUAACAGCCAACCCCACAGGCCAGGCCAGCACCACAUUAAAAAAAAAAAAAAUCCUUUAAUAAUUCAUAGGAUCUGAAUAUGUUUAUCCAGCUCUCCCCAGGGAGCGAUUAGGCCGGUGCUGGGGAGGGCUCAGCCCUCCUCACUCAGCUAUUACAGGUACAUUUGUUUGGGUCUUGCAGGCAAUUUAGGGAUUGUCAGUGGACCACGAAACCUCUUUCAAGAGCUGCAUGCAAUAAAUGGAGUUCAAUCUAGUGAGCAGCCAGCCUUGGGAGAAAAAAAAAAAAACCACCACAACACAGAAGGCUGAUGCAGAGAAAACCCUGCAGCAGCUUUUCCCCAUUCUGUCUCCCUGUUCUCCCCCCUUUUGCCACCCAAAAUCUUCCCUCCAGGCCCCAGAGAGGAAGAGUGCAGGGCUGAUUCAGCCCCCUGAUGGGGAGGGCAAUUUGUUCAGAGGGAGAAGGCUGAAUGCUUCUAUGAGAGUUAUGGCGCAUUAAAGAGAUUGAUAAGUGGAAAUUUAAUAUUUUAUUCCAGCAAUCUGUUCCCAUAAUAGCUUCUCCUGCCUUGCAGGACCUUUGUCAGUCGCAGGCAAGCCAUGUAGUGUGACAUGUAACUAUUUAUUACGGGCAGGUGGGGGACAGAACGAAAGGCUGUGCUUGUGGGCUGCACGUGGGGGUGGUCCUGCACAGAGAGCUGGCCAUGGACACUCACUGGUGUGCUCCCAGCCUUCAUCCUGGCCAUGGACACUCACUGGUGUGCUCCCAGCCUUCAUCCUGGCCAUGGACACUCACUGGUGUGCUCCCAGCCUUCAUCCUGGCCAUGGACACUCACUGGUGUGCUCCCAGCCUUCAUCCUGGCCAUGGACACUCACUGGUGUGCUCCCAGCCUUCAUCCUGGCCAUGGACACUCACUGGUGUGCUCCCAGCCUUCAUCCUGGCCAUGGACACUCACUGGUGUGCUCCCAGCCUUCAUCCUGGCCAUGGACACUCACUGGUGUGCUCCCAGCCUUCAUCCUGGCCAUGGACACUCACUGGUGUGCUCCCAGCCUUCAUCCUGGCCAUGGACACUCACUGGUGUGCUCCCAGCCUUCAUCCUGGCCAUGGACACUCACUGGUGUGCUCCCAGCCUUCAUCCUGGCCAUGGACACUCACUGGUGUGCUCCCAGCCUUCAUCCUGGCCAUGGACACUCACUGGUGUGCUCCCAGCCUUCAUCCUGGCCAUGGACACUCACUGGUGUGCUCCCAGCCUUCAUCCUGGCCAUGGACACUCACUGGUGUGCUCCCAGCCUUCAUCCUGGCCAUGGACACUCACUGGUGUGCUCCCAGCCUUCAUCCUGGCCAUGGACACUCACUGGUGUGCUCCCAGCCUUCAUCCUGGCCAUGGACACUCACUGGUGUGCUCCCAGCCUUCAUCCUGGCCAUGGACACUCACUGGUGUGCUCCCAGCCUUCAUCCUGGCCAUGGACACUCACUGGUGUGCUCCCAGCCUUCAUCCUGGCCAUGGACACUCACUGGUGGGAUCCCAGUCUUCAUCCUGGUCAUGGAUAUUUGCACUUGUGUCAUCCCAUUUGUAUCCUGCCCAUGGACAUUCACACCUGUGUGAUCCCAUUUGUAUCCUGCCCAUGGACAUUCUCACUUGUAGGAUCCCCUUUUCAUCCUGCCCAUGGACAUUCAUACCUGUGUGAUCCCAUUUUUAUCCUGCCCAUGGACAUUCACACCUGUGUGAUCCCAUUUUUAUCCUGUCCAUGGAUAUUCACAGGUGUGAUCCCAUUUUUAUCCUGCCCAUGGACAUUCACACCUGUGUGAUCCCAUUUUUGUCCUGCCCAUGGAUAUUCACAGGUGUGAUCCCAUUUUUAUCCUGCCCAUGGACAUUCACACCUGUGUGAUCUCAUUUUUAUCCUGCUUAUGGACAUUCACACCAGUGUGAUCCCAUUUUUAUCCUUCUCAUAGCCAUUCACACCUGUAGUCCCAUUUUUAUCCUGCCCAUGGACAUUCACACCUGUGUGAUCCCAUUUUUAUCCUGUCCAUGGACAUUCACACCUGUGUGAUCCCAUUUUUAUCCUGUCCAUGGACAUUCACACCUGUGUGAUCCCAUUUUUAUCCUGUCCAUGGACAUUCACACCUGUGUGAUCCCAUUUUUAUCCUGUCCAUGGACAUUCACACCUGUGUGAUCCCAUUUUUAUCCUGUCCAUGGACAUUCACACCUGUGUGAUCCCAUUUUUAUCCUGUCCAUGGACAUUCACACCUGUGUGAUCCCAUUUUUAUCCUGUCCAUGGAGAUCCCAUUUUCCCCCCCCCCCCCCCCCCCCCCCCCCCCCCCCCCCCCCCCCCCCCCCCCCCCCC
rnacentral:lncRNA from 1 species